UUCCGGUUGAUCCUGCCGGACCCGACUGCUAUCAGAAUAGGACUAAGCCAUGCGAGUCAACGUAGCAAUACGUGGCAUACGGCUCAGUAACACGUAGUCAACAUGCCCAGGGGACGUGGAUAACCUCGGGAAACUGAGGAUAAACCGCGAUAGACCAUAAUGUCUGGAAUGAUUUAUGGUUCAAAUCUACAUGGCCCCUGGAUUGGACUGCGGCCGAUCAGGCUGUUGGUGAGGUAAUGGCCCACCAAACCUAAAACCGGUACGGGCUCUGAGAGGAGAAGCCCGGAGAUGGGCACUGAGACUAGGGCUCAGGCCCUAU
rnacentral:rRNA from 1 species